GACGAACGCUGGCGGCGUGCUUAACACAUGCGAGUCGAACGGAAAGGCCCGGCUUUUGUGGGGUGCUCGAGUGGCGAACGGGUGAGUAACACGUGAGUAACCUGCCCCUGAAUUUGGGAUAAAUUCAGGAAACUGGGGCGAAUACCGGAUAGGAGCUCCUGCUGCACGGGGGGGGUUGGAAAGUUUCGGCGGUUGGGGCUGGACUCGCGGCUUAUGCGCCGGUUGGGGGGGUAGUGGAGUACCAAGUCUUUGACGGGUAGCCGGCCUUGGAGCGUGACCGGCCACCUUGGGACUGCGGUACGGCCCAGUCUCCUACCGGAGGCAGCAGUGGGGAAUCUUGCACAACGGGCGGAAGCCUGAUGCAGCAACGCCGCGUGCGGGAUGACGGCUUUCUGGUGGUAAACCGCUUUCGCCUGUGACGAAGCGUGAGUGACGGUAAUUGGUAAAGAAGCACCGGCUAACUACGUG
rnacentral:rRNA from 1 species